GAUGAACGCUGGCGGCGUGCUUAACACAUGCAAGUCGAACGUGAAGAGGUAGCAAUACUUCGGAAAGUGGCGAACGGGUGAGUAACACGUGGGUGACCUGCCUCGGAGUGGGGGAUAACCAUGGGAAACUGUGGCUAAUACCGCAUGGGUCGAUGGCUAUGGGAAGGACCAUCGAUAAAGCUUUAGUGCUUCGAGAGGGGCCUGCGUCCGAUUAGGUAGUUGGUGAGGUAANGGCUCACCAAGCCGAUGAUCGGUAGCUGGUCUGAGAGGACGAUCAGCCACACGGGAACUGAGAGACGGUCCCGACUCCGUACGGGGGGCA
rnacentral:rRNA from 1 species